rnacentral:lncRNA from 10 species
CGGAGUCUCGCUCCGUCCCCCAGGCGGGAGUGCAGUGGCGCGAUCUCGGCUCACUGCAAGCUCCGCCUCCCGGGUUCACGCCAUCUUGCCACUAAACCUGAUUUACCAACAUAACCUGUUUCUGGCCAUGCUGUGAAUCUGCAUUCUUUACUGUGUCCUUGGGAUACUAGGAGGAACCAGAGGAGCAGAUCCUGCUAGGAGGCUAAGCAUGAAGAAGGAAUUCAAAGAAACCUUGUGGAGAACGAAGACACAGCAGGGAGUCUCUGAUCAAGUGCCACAUCUUUAGAGAAGCUUUUCCAAACAACCGAUUAUGAAGUACACAUUAACAAUGAAGCCUCUUUUCAAGUAAAGAAGUGAGUAGCCUUCAAGCUCCAGAUAAUCCUCAGUGAGGUAUACUGUCCGCUCAAUAUCCAAGAGUCACCCUUCUACAAGGGACCUCUAGACUGCCCAUAAGUGAGACAUGACAGAGGUAACUUUUCAGACAUGAAUUGGAAUAAGAUAAGGCCAACUUGCUCAACUACAUUCCUUACUAAAACAUAAUAACUAAAAGCUACAGUGUGCAUUUCAUGUUUCACAUGUUCUGUUGCAGUGCCAAGACUAGGUUUAAGCAAUUCAGCUGCACAGUUACCAACCACUUCUUCUUGGAAGAUUUACCUACAAUCUAACUGAUAUACUUAACAAAAUUAUAUUUUUAAUAUUGAUUGUACAAUUUUUUACUCCUUAAUUGUAUCUGACAGCUUCUUAUACUUUAAACUUGAUCAACAGUAAAUUGUGAAGAGAGUAACUAUACACCACAUGGCUUGACAAUAUCCAAACAUCAUUCUUGUUCUACAAAAGUUACAAAUGGU